rnacentral:snoRNA from 1 species
UGGACAUUUAUUUUUAAACAGUUUCUUCUCAAGGUGAAGAUAACUUUUUGUAAAUGUCCUAGAUAAAUAUAGUAGCUUUCUGUUCACCCUUUGCAAGGAAAAAGGGUGGAUCGUUCCACUACUGACAUAU